CCUCAUGGCCCUUACGGGAUGGGCUACACACGUGCUACAAUGGCGGUGACAGUGGGACGCGAAACCGCGAGGUUGAGCAAAUCCCCAAAAAUCGUCUCAGUUCAGAUUGCACUCUGCAACUCGAGUGCAUGAAGGCGGAAUCGCUAGUAAUCCCUUCCCCUGCGAAGGAACGGUGAAUACGUUCCCGGGCCUUGUACACACCGCCCGUCACACCAUGGGAGUUGGUCUUACCCGACGGCGCUGCGCCAACCGCAAGGAGGCAGGCGACCACGGUAGGGUCA
rnacentral:rRNA from 1 species